rnacentral:rRNA from 1 species
AUGAAGCUUCCGCCGGCUGUUGUCUGUCUUCUCCUCAUCCUCGUCUGCUUUGAUGCUGCUCGCGUGGAGGCCCGAGGCACACCUUCUGCCCAGGGGUCGAGGAACCAAUGGUCCAGCAUGUUCGUCUUCGGCGACGACUUUGUCGACAACGGCAACCGUCCCAACAUCACCGGUGAAAAGACAUCGCGCCAAUGGAGCUACCCCUACGGCUCCUAUCUCAACUCUCAUUAUUCUACGUCUCCUGUUUUGACCGGGCGCUUCUCCAACUACAGGAUGCAAUCAGAUUUUAUAGCAAGGAUGUUGGGUCUCCAUGAAGCCCCUCCAGCGUACGAGCUCACAGAAGAUCAAUCUUGUGACUCAUCUGGCAUGACCUUUGCUUCUGGUGGCGCUGGUGUCUUCAAGGUGAAGACCAAGAAGGUGCCGACACUUGCCGCACAAGUUCAAACUUUCAAGAGGCUUGUCAAGGAUGGGGUCAUCUCAACACAUCAGCUUCACCACUCCGUCGCGCUCAUCGCCAUCUCCGGCAAUGAUUACAUGAGCGACUCCGACAUUGAGACUGGCUUCUACACAAGCUUCGAUGAUGUAAGUAGUAGCUAUCAUACUCACACAUACAAGUUACACCAUCAAUUAAUAUAUCGAUCUCCACCUUGCUAA